rnacentral:rRNA from 1 species
AUAUCAAUAAGCGGAGGAAAAGAAACCAACAGGGAUUGCCUCAGUAACGGCGAGUGAAGCGGCAACAGCUCAAAUUUGAAAUCUGGAGCCUUCGGCUUCCGAGUUGUAAUUUGAAGAGGAUGUUUCGGUGCGACCUGGGCCUAAGUUCCUUGGAACAGGACGUCAUGGAGGGUGAGAAUCCCGUACAUGGCUGCAGGUUUGCUUCUAUGUGAAACUCCUUCGAAGAGUCGAGUUGUUUGGGAAUGCAGCUCAAAAUGGGUGGUAAAUUUCAUCUAAAGCUAAAUAUUGGGGGGAGACCGAUAGCGCACAAGUAGAGUGAUCGAAAGAUGAAAAGCACUUUGAAAAGAGAGUUAAACAGUACGUGAAAUUGUUGAAAGGGAAGCGCUUGCAAUCAGACUCGCCUUCAGUUGAUCAGCCUUCCUUCUGGUUGGUGCACUCUGCUGUUGGCGGGCCAGCAUCAGUUGGGGCGGUGGGACAAAGGCGGCAGGAAUGUGGCUCGCUUCGGUGAGUGUUAUAGCCUGCUGCGUCAUGCCACCAGCCCCGAUUGAGGUCCGCGGUUCGCCUAGGAUGCUGGCUUAAUGGUUGUAAGCGA